AAGCACCACAACAGGUGGAGCCUGCGGUUUAAUCGGACUCAACGCCGGGAAACUCACCAGAUAAGACAGCUGAAUGAUAGUCGGGCUGAAGACUCUACUUGACUAGCUGAGAGGAGGUGCAUGGCCGUCGUCAGUUCGUACUGUGAAGCAUCCUGUUAAGUCAGGCAACGAGCGAGACCCACGCCAACAGUUGCCAGCUCGUCCUCCGGGAUGGUGGGGACACUGUUGGGACCGCCUCUGCUAAAGAGGAGGAAGGAAUGGGCAACGGUAGGUCAGCAUGCCCCGAAUUAUCUGGGCUACACGCGGGCUACAAUGGGUGGGACAAUGGGUAUCGACACCGAAAGGUGAAGGCAAUCUCCUAAACCCAUCCGUAGUUCGGAUUGUGGGCUGCAACUCGCCCACAUGAAGCUGGAAUCUGUAGUAAUCGUGUCUCAAAAUGGCACGGUGAAUAUGUCCCUGCUCCUU
rnacentral:rRNA from 1 species